rnacentral:lncRNA from 1 species
UGAUAGGAACCAAACUGGGGUCCUCAGGAAGAGCAACAAGUGCUCUUAACCACGGAACCAGCUCUCUAUUCCUCAAUACCUUACAGUUUAUCAAGACAUUUGCCAUGACUUUUAUUUAUAUGUUUUAGUAACUUAGAGCUAGGACUACUAAAGCACAAGCCUAUCUAACACAUACAGAAAAAAGACACUAUAAAAAUUAUUAAUGUACUAAGUUAGCUAUGUGUCAAGAGAACUCUGUUCAAAGUUGCAAAGAUCAAUCCUAAUGUAGGUCAGUCCUAAUCUCAGGAAUUACAUGAACUAAGCAUAUCAAACUUUUAAGAAUAAUAUCAGCAAAUAUGAAUCAUAUACAUAACAGAAAGGAAGUCAUGUGGGCAAUGAAUUCUUUUACAUCUAAUAUAUAUUUGCCUGUCAUUAUAAUAUAAAUUUUCUGAAUGCAAUAAAGUAAGAAGUUGUUGAAGCUCACAAAUGAUAAUUUCAAAACAGAAAAAAGAAGGAAAAAAUACUAAACUGGUAGAAUGAGUUUGAGAAAUAACUAAAAAUAAACACUUAUCUAAACAUUGCUUGCCUAUGUAUUUCCUUUCUAGUAAAUAUUCAGUCAUCACAUAAAAGUCGAAGAUUCAAAGCCAGGCAUGGUGGUGAACACCUUUAAGCCCAGAACUUGGGAGGCAGAGGCAGGCAGGUCUCUCUGAGUUCACGGCUAGCCUGGUCUACAAAGCAAGUUCCAGUUAGACCAUGUCUUGAAAGAACCAACACAGAGAAAUCCUGUCUCAAAAACAACAACAAAAAAUUAGCAGAUUCAAAAUAUUUAUGAAAGAAAUAAAACUAUUGACCACUUUUAGUCUUUUUGUUACAUUCCAAAGCAAUCCCUUUUUAUUAGUCUCAGUCUCUCUCUCUCUCUCUCUCUCUCUCUCUCUCUCUCUCUCUGUGUGUGUGUGUGUGUGUGUGUGUGUGUGUGUGUGUAAUUAUUUUUCAAACUCAUAUAGCAUAAAUAUACGUAAAAUCACUGUGGGGCAAUGAGCUAUGCACAGACAGCCUGGUCUCCAGUCGAGCUGAGGUCUUGAACCCCAUGGGACCCAGUGGGUGGUAAUGUCCACCUACACAGGACAGUAAGCAUUCGAUCAGGUCUCCUGGACCUCUGGCUCCUGUCGAAGUUACCAUCCCCCACAGUCCCCACAGGAGAGGCCUGUGGCUUCCAGUCACAUAGACAAUGUCCCAAGCUUCUGGCAUUCUGGCUAGACACCUCCCCACAGUUACCUAGCAACAGCAAGAGAGCCAAGCCCACUAUAAGAGGGGCUGCUUGGCCCCACCUCACUCUCUCUAAGCUUUUACCUCUCUUACUCUCUAGCCUUCCUUCUCUCUCUCCCUUCUCCCAUCUCUUCAUGUGGCCAUGGCCAGUCUCCCUCCCUCUUUCUAUCUUCUCUCUUUCCCCCUGUCUUUUUCUACAAUAAAGCUCUAAAACCAUAGACUGUCUCUGACCAUCAAAGCCCGCCGUUUGAAAGAUGGGUUAGGCUUUCUCCUAAUGAGAGCAGCGUCUAACCUCCCCACAGAAGGCCUUCCUGCCCUCCAGCUACAGACCUGACCAAGGACUCUUGCCCAAGUAGGAACCAUCCAGUCCCCCCUCUCCCCUUAUCUCCGGGGCUGAGUGCCGCCCCAGGGCCCCUAUUCUGUUCUCUGCUCCUCCACUGUAUCCAGCAUUGUACAUCCCCAGGCUGAGAUCCUGGUACCUGGUGCUGACCCUGUCCACCACCCACCUUGUGGGGUCAGUAGCUUAACACAGCCAGAUGCCCACCUAGGGUCACCCAGCACUGCGUGGAAAGCAUCCAGCAGUCCUUCCGCAACCACCGGCCCAGAGCACUGGAACUCUGGCGGAAUGUGAGCUUUCUCAUACCCCACUCUUUCCCACACACCCAUGGCCCCACAAUUUACCCUUUAAAUUUAGAUGCUCUUAUAAUAAAACAAAUACCAUGGCACAGAGAGCUAUGAAACAAUAAGAAAAGAGAAGAGAGAAAAAAUAAAAGAAACUUUAACUUCUAAUGGUUGGUUACAUAAGAAUAACUUCAGUUCCCUGGCAAUUCACUUUGGGAAUCAUCAAUAGACAAAUUCUGUCUCCACAAAAGCAAUUAACUAAAUCACAUAAGAAUUUUACUCAAGCCAGGCAUAAUGGCAAUUGCCUUUAGUACCAGCACUUGGGAGGAAGUGGAUCUCUGUGAGUUCAAGGCCAGCCUGGUCUACACAGUGAGUUCCAGACCAGCCAAAACCACAUAGUGAGACCUCUUUUAAAAAUACAAACAAAUAAGCAAACAGAGAAUUUAAAUUAGACCCUACUACUAUGAAUUAUAUUCUGACAUCACAAAAGACCAAUGGCAUCAGAUGACUAUAUGAAAUUUUUACUACUUUUGUCCUUGCUUCACAGUCUGCAAACACUGGCGUUAGUAUUGUCUACUAAGUCAGGUUUUAACCCUGUUGCUCCUUCAGGGAAUGAUCUAUCUCCUGGCAGGAAUUGCUCAACUGACCUCAGAGAGCAGGCUUUUUGAAGCAGCUUCACCUGUAGCAUUCAGAAUUGAACACCUGACACGAGUACUCAAUAAAUUGUUGAAUGAAUUUGUAAGCCUAUACACAAUUUCUAAUACAAUAUGAAAACAAAUCUGGUACCUUAAAAACAAGUAUAUUAGCAAAAUACUAAUUUUUAUAGAAUCCCAAUUUGAAGUUUUAAAAAUUGAAACUUUUCCAUAAAUUUUUUAUGUCAAAUUCUAAGUAAAAAGAUUAAAUCUUAACUAAUAUUUCCUGUCAUGUGAGGUAAGUCUCUGAUGACUCACAAGCAAGAACAAAACUUGGUAACACUCUUAGUUCUGAAGUACAGACACAAUGCAUAUGCAAAGAUUUUUAAAGUAUAAGGGGUAUGCAUCAGAAUAUAAAAAUGCAAAAUAAAGUUAAAAGUAUACCUGACUCAAAUCAUCCAAUACUACCAUUUACUACAUAAAAAUUAGAAGUGUUAAACAGAAGUUGGCCAAGCUAUUUCUGAAUAGC